AACAAGGGAGCAGUCAGUUCCAUGGCCGCACCCACCUGGAAAGUUCCACACACCAUGCCCCUCCUGGACUGUCACAAUGUUUGUUGGUGUAAUCAAGGCUCUGAUAAGUUUUACACUUCUCUUUUUAACUUUACAAACUGUUUGAUGUUAGUAUCUCAGUGUUUUCCAAACUUAUUUGAUCAGAGAACCGCCCCAUCCUCCUUUUUUUUUGAAGAGCAUCUCAUCCAAUUAGCCAUCCUGGGAGCACACUUUGGAGAAACGACUCUGAAAAGGGAGCAGAAGCAAGCAAGAAUUUACAAUCUUUGCAUUCCCUUUGCAAGUCACUAACUUCGUACCAGAAUGUGGCUCACAGAAAGCGAGGCUGGCCUCAGCACUGCCCUGGCAAAAGGACUCUAAACACCGGAGCCCACAGUGGGGCCCGGAGACACCGUGGAAUCUCAGCGCAGGGGAUCGGCCCAGUGGGUGUCCCUGCCCCGGUGCAGCUGGGGGCCGUCCCCACUCUGCUCUCCUGCAAGAAUGCUGCUGAAAACCACAACUGGCUUCCUGUUUCCAAGGACAUAAAGGAAAUACCUUCAGGAGUAAAACGUCACGACAAGGAAUGACACCAGGAUUACCAUUUCCCCGGGUGUCUCCAGACAUGUGAAAAUAAACCACAGGAGACACACUGGUUUGGCUUCAAGUGCAUCCGCAACUGUGCCCAUGACCGGUGACGGUGGGCUCUAUCAGAUGAAAGGAAACGCCCAACCAGGGACACCAGCCCUGAGCUUCUGGUGACGUCGGCUGCCGGCCAGGAGAAUCUGGAUGGCUGUUUUCUCUCCCUUCCAGUUCUCUGUAGCUGGAUCUCCCUCUACCAGGCUCCCCCAAUGGCUGCCUUCCUCCUCCUCCUCCUCCUCCUCCUCCUCCUCCUCCUGUCUCCUCCUUCUCCUCCUCCUCUGCCUCCUUGGUCCUCAUCUUCCGUUCUGGGCAAACAUUUCCUGGGAACCUUGGUCCCUUUCUUUGCACUGUAGCAGGAAUGCAAUACACAGCGGUCUCUGGAGCCCG